rnacentral:rRNA from 1 species
AUUGAACGCUGGCGGCAGGCCUAACACAUGCAAGUCGAGCGGAUGAAGGGAGCUUGCUCCUGGAUUCAGCGGCGGACGGGUGAGUAAUGCCUAGGAAUCUGCCUGGUAGUGGGGGAUAACGUCCGGAAACGGGCGCUAAUACCGCAUACGUCCUGAGGGAGAAAGUGGGGGAUCUUCGGACCUCACGCUAUCAGAUGAGCCUAGGUCGGAUUAGCUAGUUGGUGGGGUAAAGGCCUACCAAGGCGACGAUCCGUAACUGGUCUGAGAGGAUGAUCAGUCAAACUGGAACUGAGACACGGUCCAGACUCCUACGGGAGGCAGAAGUGGGGAAUAUUGGACAAUGGGCGAAAGACUGAUCCAGCCAUGCCGCGUGUGUGAAGAAGGUCUUCGGAUUGUAAAGCACUUUAAGUUGGGAGGAAGGGCAGUAAGUUAAUACCUUGCUGUUUUGACGUUACCAACAGAAUAAGCACCGGCUAACUUCGUG